rnacentral:rRNA from 1 species
AGAAUCAACGCUGGCGGCGUGCCUAACACAUGCAAGUCGCACGAGAAAGGGACUUCGGUCCUGAGUACAGUGGCGCACGGGUGAGUAACACGUGAAUAAUCUACCUCCGAGUGGGGAAUAACUGAGAGAAAUCUUAGCUAAUACCGCAUAACACUUACGAGUCAAAGCAGUAAUGCGCUGGAAGAGGGGGUCGCGGCUGAUUAGCUAGUUGGCGGGUAAUGGCCCACCAAGGCGAAGAUCGGUA